rnacentral:rRNA from 1 species
UACGUAGGGGGCGAGCGUUGUCCGGAGUUACUGGGCGUAAAGCGCACGCAGGCGGUCGGGCAAGUGUGGGGUGACAGUGGUCGGCUUAACCGACCAAGUGCCUGACAAACUGCCGGACUUGAGGGCCACAGAGGGACAUGGAACUCCAGGUGUAGUGGUGAAAUGCGUAGAUAUCUGGAAGAACACCAAAGGCGAAGGCAGUGUCCUGGGUGGUACCUGACGCUGAUGUGCGAAAGCCAGGGGAGCGAACGGG